CGGUGUGCCAUAAUAAAGGGGGCGAAAGAGAAAGCCAAAGGAGUGAUGGGCAAAUUAUGUGGUCCAAACUCAAAAGCUGCUAAUUUGUUUGUUGCGAAGACCAAGGAGUUUCCGCUUGGAGUUUAAUCCUCCUAUUUAACCAAUGCUUUAAACAUGCUUUCUUAACGACCCCCCUCCACUUUCAUCAUUUCCCAAACCCAUAAACAUGUCCAAUUUCCAUUUUCUUUCAUCAGCAUUAAUGUUCUUCCACUGUUUCAUGGUCACCUACGCCGUGACUACCAGAAACCUCACCACCGAUCAAUCUGUUCUUCUCGAAUUUAAACACCAAAUCAAUGAUCCUUAUGGCAUCCUAAUCGACAACUGGACCACCAGCCACUCUUUCUGUAACUGGAUCGGUGUCACUUGCGGUGCUAGGCAUAACAGAAUCGUAGCUUUGGAUCUUCCCAACAUGAAUCUUACCGGAACUAUCCCUCCAGAAUUAGGGAACCUCUCGUUCUUAGCCUCUCUUAAUUUGAGUGGCAAUGGAUUCCAUGGCGAUUUACCGGGAGAGUUGGGGCACCUGAGUCGUCUGAAACUCGUCGACUUAAGCUUCAAUUUCUUUACCGGGAAAAUUCCAUCAUCAUUUGGAAGAUUAAACCAGGUUUCAGACUUGGUUCUCAGCAAUAACAAUCUGACUGGAGCAAUCCCUCCCGAGAUAAGUAAUCUUUUGAAUAUGAGAACACUUGACUUGGCAUCGAACAAGCUUUAUGGGCCUAUACCUUCUUCCAUUUACAACAUUUCUUCAUUGCGAAAGAUUUCUUUAUCCUUGAAUAGUUUAUCUGGUAAAAUCCCAGAUGAUAUGUGCCACCAUCUUUCCAAUUUGGAGGCACUUUACUUGGGCACAAACGAGUUGUCAGGUCAGAUUCCAGCAACUAUAGAUGAAUGCAGGAAUCUUCAAGGAUUAUUAUUAGAUUACAAUCAGUUGAGUGGCAGCAUUCCCAGGAGAAUCGGAAAUCUAACUGCACUUACAGAGCUAUAUUUGGGUGGAAAUAAUUUAGAAGGUGAGAUCCCUUGGGAAAUUGGAAAUCUGUUGAAUUUGGAGAUAUUUUUCGCUGUAGAUAUGAGGCUUACUGGACUCAUUCCCACGAGCAUCGGCAAUUUAACCAAACUCAGGGAGAUAUAUUUAGGUCCUAAUUUUUUAGAAGGUGAAAUUCCAUGGGAGAUUGGGAAUAUUCAUUCAUUGGAGAUAUUUUCAGCACCAAAUAUGAGCUUAAAUGGGGAGAUUCCACAUUCUAUUCUCAAUGGUUCUUCUUUGAAAGCCAUUUAUGUCAUGCUCAAUCAUUUAUCUGGUAAAUUACCAGACAUAAGGUCGGAUUCAAAUCUUGAGGAGCUUCACCUAUGGGGCAACAAUCUUAGUGGAAACAUUCCUGAAUCUAUCUCCAAUGUUUCUAAACUCAGAAACAUCGCAUUGAUGGCAAACUCAUUCUCUGGUCAUAUUCCAAAUAGUCUUGGCAAUCUAAAAUUUCUCGAGGAGUUACGCCUUUGGAAGAACAACUUGACCAUUGAAACUAAUUCAAAUGGUGAGUGGAGCUUCUUCGCUUCCUUGCUGAAUUGCAAGUAUCUAAAAGUGUUAGAUUUAUCGGUCAACCCAUUGAAGGGAGUUCUUCCAACUUCCAUCUCCAAUCUCUCCCAAACGCUUCAAUUUUUCGCAUGCGGGGAUUGCAGAAUUGAAGGAACCAUUCCCAUGGAAAUCGGUAGCUUGAACAAUGCAAUCAUUUUGGAACUUACCAACAAUGAACUUAUUGGAUCCAUUCCAACAACGAUAGGAGGGUUAACGAAUCUCCAAUACUUGGGUCUUAGUGGAAAUAAGUUGCAAGGCUCCAUCCCACAUGAUCUUUGCGGUUUAAAGGGAUUGUAUGAAUUAUCAUUAGAUGAUAACGAGCUCGAUGGACCUUUACCUCCAUGUUUGGGCGAGUUGACUUCUAUGAGAAAACUACACUUGUCCUUCAACAAGUUGCAUUCAUCAAUACCUUUCAGUUUAUGGAGCUUGAAAGAUAUCUUAAAAGUAGACUUGUCAUCCAACUAUUUCAACGGCUCCCUUCCACUUGAAAUUGGAAAGUUGAGCGUACUACAACACUUGGACUUGUCAAUGAAUUCGUUAUCAAAUGAUAUCCCAUCCACAAUUGGAAAUCUUCGCGAUCUGCAAGUUCUAGCUCUUUCAAGUAAUAGGUUCCACGGUCUUAUCCCUACGUCAAUCAGUGACUUGGUGAGUUUGGAAAGCUUGGAUUUAUCUGAAAACAACCUCUCUGGAGUCAUUCCCAAAUCUCUAGAAGGGCUUCGUCACCUCAAGAAAUUUAAUGUGUCUCUGAAUAGAUUGGAAGGGGAGAUACCAAGUGGAGGGCCUUUUGCGAACUUCACAAGCCAAUCAUUCAUGAAAAAUUAUGCACUGUGUGGUUCACCAAGAUUACAAGUCUCACCAUGCAAAAGUAACUCCCAUCGAAAUUCAAAGAAGACCCUUUUACAUGUUUUGAGGUAUGUUUUACCAAUAGUUGCUUCAAUCAUCAUAGUCAUUACCUUAAUAUUUGUCUGCACACCAUUUAAGAAGAAGAGGAAGAGUACGAACUCCACUACGAUAGAAGAUUCAUUUCCUUUGAAGGAAUGGAAAAGAAUUUCGUAUGAUCAGUUAUCGAAAGCGACCGAUGGAUUUAGCGGAGGAAACAUGCUUGGUUCGGGAAGUUUCGGCACUGUAUAUAAAGGAAUACUUUUUGAUGAGACCGAAGUUGCAAUAAAAGUUUUUAAUUUGCAAUUAGAGGGAGCGUUUAGGAGUUUCGACGUCGAAUGCGAAGUGAUGAGUAAGAUCAUUCAUCGUAAUCUCGUCAAGGUCAUUACUUGUUGUUCUAGUACUACUGAUUUCAAAGCCCUAGUGCUUGAACUCAUGCCAAAUGGAAGCCUUGACAAAUGGCUAUACUCUAACAAUCAUUUCUUGGAUAUUCUACAAAGAAUCAACAUAAUGAUAGAUGUUGCAUCAGCAUUAGAAUACCUCCACUCGGGAUAUUCGACUCCUCUAAUCCAUUGCGACCUAAAACCAAGUAACGUCUUACUAGACAAAGACAUGAUUGCUCAUGUGGGAGAUUUUGGGAUUGCCAAAUUAUUAGGAGAAGGAGAUUCCAUGAAGCAGACAAUGACGCUUGCCACCAUUGGCUAUAUGGCACCAGAGUAUGGAUCAGCAGGAAUUAUUUCCGUGAAAAGUGAUGUCUAUAGUUAUGGUAUUUUAUUAAUGGAAACUUUCACAAGAAAAAAGCCUACAGAUGAAAUUUUUGCUGGAGAAAUGAGCAUGAAGCAUUGGGUGAAAACAUCACUAGGUAAUGGAAUAAUUGGGGCAGGAGAUUCUGGUUUACUUGAAGAAGAUGACAAAUACUUUGUUGUUAAAGCAAAUUGUAUAUCCUCAAUUAUGAAAUUGGCUUUAGAUUGUUCAGCUGAAUUACCUGAAGAUAGGACUGAUAUGAACAAUGUUCUUUCCAUACUCAAGAACAUCAAAAGAAAAUUUAUAAAUGACAUAGAAGAUGAUUAAUACGAUUAAAAGUUGUUAUCAUAAUCCGAUAAAGAAUGUUUUGAAGUUUGAUUCUUAUCAGCAAUCUCAUUUGGUAAUCCAUAAAUUUAGGGCGAAUCAGUACAACGGGAGCUUGAUUUUUUAUUAUUAUUGUGUUUCUCUUAACUUGUUCGUAUUAACUUCGUUUUUCUUGUGGUAUAUUUUUUUAAAGUUUGGACUUUAUUUUUCAUUUUAAGUUGUUUUGACGUUUUAGAUGAUAUUAAUUCUAUCCGCAAAACGUUAGAUUUUCAAUAACAAA